CCUGGAUUGACCCUUUUUUUGGAAUAUUUUACCAUUUUUUUAUUUCUUGUGUCAGGGUGGUAUUUCAGCCAUGCUGUACACGGACUGCAGUGACGUGUAAAAAAACAAAAACAGUGUUAAGAGAAAAGGAUAACAAAAAAUA